UCGAGGAUCAUUUGCAAUGGGCGCAAGCCUGACAAUGCGACGCUGCGUGGAGGAUGAAGGCCUUCGGGUUGUAAACUCCUGUCAUUUGGGAACAAGCUCGGGACGGGGAUAAUCCAUUCCGGGGUGAUAGUACCAGAAGAGGAAGUCACGGCUAACUCUGUGCCAGCAGCCGCGGUGAUACAGAGGUGGCAAGCGUUGUUCGGAUUUACUGGGCGUAAAGGGUGCGUAGGUAGUUUUGCAUGUCAGAUGUGAAAGCUCAUCGCUCAACGAUGAAAGUGCAUUUGAAACUGCAGGACUGGAGUACGGGGGAGGAGAGUGGAAUUCUUGGUGUAGCGGUGAAAUGCGUAGAUAUCAAGAAGAACACCGGUGGCGAAGGCGACUCUCUAUCCCGAUACUGACGCUGAGGCACGAAAGCUGGGGGAGCAAACA
rnacentral:rRNA from 1 species